GAGUUCCUGUAUGAUGAGAGUUUAAAUUCCUACCACAGCCAUAUAUACAUGCUUGCUAGACUUUGAGCCACACAUUUAUUAUUUACUACUUAUGAGCAUUGAGUGUGGUCAAGCUGUGUAGACCCUUAGGAGCUUGUCAUGUGGUUAAAUCAAGAUUCACUUGCACGUUCACUCAUAUAUGCUACUUCUACUCCGGAAGUACCAUCCACAUAUAUCCGCCCAUUCCAUCUCCAGAAUCACCUAAAAAUAUUCUACUCCUAAUCCAGGAGAGAAUAGCCAAAAAUAUUUCUGUUUUCCCUUGUGAAAUAAAUGCUCAAGUUUCUUGUUACUACCACUUGCUAUAUUAUCUCAAGAGAUGAGUGCUCUAAAAAAGAGAGGAAAUAAAAAGGAGCAAGUGCUCGAAACCUCGAAAGAAAAGAAAAAAGUGAGACGAGAGGUAAAAAUGGACAAGUGUCCGACAGUAGAAUUAGGGGUACAAGAUACCCACCUGAGAGAAAAGAAAAAGAAGAGCAUCUCAUUCUCCUCAUAAAGUUUCAAAAAGCAAGGAAGGUAUGUAUCCCCUCAAAGAGCAAAGUAGAAUUAGACUUCCACCACCAUUGUUUCCAUCAUUGUUAUCACCAUACACCAUUCAUUUGCCACACAUGCACAUCUUGAUUUGGCUUAUUGAUUUGUUUCUUUGGAUCCAUGGGUUGACUAUGCAAUAAAUGUCUUGUAAGUAUGUAUAUUUUAUUUCCCACCUAUGAGCUCCAGAUAUUAAAGCCUUAUAAGAGUAGGGUGAGAGAGAGGGCAAUGUUAUUAUGCCUUAUACCAUAAAUGCCACAUAUCUUGAGAGAAGGCAUAUACCAUCACUGCCUUGGUAAGGAUCCAAAAAUACCACAAAAGAGAGAUUUGAGAGAGUCAUACAAGGAAUCUCUGAGUUUUAUUUGAAAAACUGCAAAAACACCAGAGUUAUAGCUGAUCAAGAAUAAGAGACAUGGCACUUGACUAGACUGUUCUAUCUUUUAACUACUCAAGACAGAAGUGACGGUUACAAGUCCCAUGGUGUAGGUAAAGUAAGUAAGUUUUAAGUCUUGACAGUUUACUCUAACUCAGGGAUGAGAUCUUAUUUAAAAAGCAUAUGUACCGUCAAUUUUUAAAGAUAUUGCAAUAACUUAUGAUCCAUAGCUGAGUCUAUCCUUGCUCAGGGGCGAGCAAGAGGUAAGCUUGGGGGAGUUUGUUGACGGCCCUUAAGUAUCAAAUUUAAUUAUCAAAUAAACAAAGAAAAGGAUCCAAAUGAAAUCAACAUCUAGACUUAGGGUUUUAUCUGACAGAAUUCUACGAGUUUUGGUGUUUGUCUAUUUCUGCAGGGGGUUAUCAGAAAAUAAGGAAGAAAGGCCCACACGUCGGGAUUACAUAGAAAGGGGAUUAUACUUAUAUAUAUAUCAUUUGCUUAGUGUGUUUAAUAAAUAAAUAAAGUGGCUAUGCUAAUCUGUAUCUAAAUAAAACUCAAGCAUGGAUAUGAUGAAUAGUUGCUCUGCCUAAUUUGCACAUUUUAAGUUCUCUCUCCAGUUUAGAUAUAACUGUUAUAAUUUAAGGCUUGCUCUAGACCUAAACUUGUGGGAUGAAAACUUGAUCUGAAGUCUAAGUUGUUAAUGGAUACGAUAUGGGAACGUUGAGCUGCUGUUUAUCUGUUCCUAGAGAUGCUAGAAUUCUGGAGAAUUUUAUCUUUGAAAAUCAUUAAAAUAUUGCAUGAUGAGUUCCUGUAUGAUGAGAGUUUAAAUUCCUACCACAGCCAUAUAUACAUGCUUGCUAGACUUUGAGCCACACAUUUAUUAUUUACUACUUAUGAGCAUUGAGUGUGGUCAAGCUGUGUAGACCCUUAGGAGCUUGUCAUGUGGUUAAAUCAAGAUUCACUUGCACGUUCACUCAUAUAUGCUACUUCUACUCCGGAAGUACCAUCCACAUAUAUCCGCCCAUUCCAUCUCCAGAAUCACCUAAAAAUAUUCUACUCCUAAUCCAGGAGAGAAUAGCCAAAAAUAUUUCUGUUUUCCCUUGUGAAAUAAAUGCUCAAGUUUCUUGUUACUACCACUUGCUAUAUUAUCUCAAGAGAUGAGUGCUCUAAAAAAGAGAGGAAAUAAAAAGGAGCAAGUGCUCGAAACCUCGAAAGAAAAGAAAAAAGUGAGACGAGAGGUAAAAAUGGACAAGUGUCCGAUAGUAGAAUUAGGGGUACAAGAUACCCACCUGAGAGAAAAGAAAAAGAAGAGCAUCUCAUUCUCCUCAUAAAGUUUCAAAAAGCAAGGAAGGUAUGUAUCCCCUCAAAGAGCAAAGUAGAAUUAGACUUCCACCACCAUUGUUUCCAUCAUUGUUAUCACCAUACACCAUUCAUUUGCCACACAUGCACAUCUUGAUUUGGCUUAUUGAUUUGUUUCUUUGGAUCCAUGGGUUGACUAUGCAAUAAAUGUCUUGUAAGUAUGUAUAUUUUAUUUCCCACCUAUGAGCUCCAGAUAUUAAAGCCUUAUAAGAGUAGGGUGAGAGAGAGGGCAAUGUUAUUAUGCCUUAUACCAUAAAUGCCAC
rnacentral:lncRNA from 1 species